GAAUGCUGACAUAAGUAACGAUAAAGCGGGUGAAAAGCCCGCUCGCCGGAAGACCAAGGGUUCCUGUCCAACGUUAAUCGGGGCAGGGUGAGUCGACCCCUAAGGCGAGGCCGAAAGGCGUAGUCGAUGGGAAACAGGUUAAUAUUCCUGUACUUGGUGUUACUGCGAAGGGGGGACGGAGAAGGCUAUGUUGGCCGGGCGACGGUUGUCCCGGUUUAAGCGUGUAGGCUGAUUUUCCAGGCAAAUCCGGAAAAUCAAGGCUGAGGCGUGAUGACGAGGCACUACGGUGCUGAAGCAACAAAUGCCCUGCUUCCAGGAAAAGCCUCUAAGCAUCAGGUAACAUCAAAUCGUACCCCAAACCGACACAGGUGGUCAGGUAGAGAAUACCAAGGCGCUUGAGAGAACUCGGGUGAAGGAACUAGGCAAAAUGGUGCCGUAACUUCGGGAGAAGGCACGCUGAUAUGUAGGUGAAGCGACUUGCUCGUGGAGCUGAAAUCAGUCGAAGAUACCAGCUGGCUGCAACUGUUUAUUAAAAACACAGCACUGUGCAAACACGAAAGUGGACGUAUACGGUGUGACGCCUGCCCGGUGCCGGAAGGUUAAUUGAUGGGGUUAGCGGUAACGCGAAGCUCUUGAUCGAAGCCCCGGUAAACGGCGGCCGUAACUAUAACGGUCCUAAGGUAGCGAAAUUCCUUGUCGGGUAAGUUCCGACCUGCACGAAUGGCGUAAUGAUGGCCAGGCUGUCUCCACCCGAGACUCAGUGAAAUUGAACUCGCUGUGAAGAUGCAGUGUACCCGCGGCAAGACGGAAAGACCCCGUGAACCUUUACUAUAGCUUGACACUGAACAUUGAGCCUUGAUGUGUAGGAUAGGUGGGAGGCUUUGAAGUGUGGACGCCAGUCUGCAUGGAGCCGACCUUGAAAUACCACCCUUUAAUGUUUGAUGUUCUAACGUUGGCCCGUUAUCCGGGUUGCGGACAGUGUCUGGUGGGUAGUUUGACUGGGGCGGUCUCCUCCUAAAGAGUAACGGAGGAGCACGAAGGUUGGCUAAUCCUGGUCGGACAUCAGGAGGUUAGUGCAAUGGCAUAAGCCAGCUUGACUGCGAGCGUGACGGCGCGAGCAGGUGCGAAAGCAGGUCAUAGUGAUCCGGUGGUUCUGAAUGGAAGGGCCAUCGCUCAACGGAUAAAAGGUACUCCGGGGAUAACAGGCUGAUACCGCCCAAGAGUUCAUAUCGACGGCGGUGUUUGGCACCUCGAUGUCGGCUCAUCACAUCCUGGGGCUGAAGUAGGUCCCAAGGGUAUGGCUGUUCGCCAUUUAAAGUGGUACGCGAGCUGGGUUUAGAACGUCGUGAGACAGUUCGGUCCCUAUCUGCCGUGGGCGCUGGAGAACUGAGGGGGGCUGCUCCUAGUACGAGAGGACCGGAGUGGACGCAUCACUGGUGUUCGGGUUGUCAUGCCAAUGGCACUGCCCGGUAGCUAAAUGCGGAAGAGAUAAGUGCUGAAAGCAUCUAAGCACGAAACUUGCCCCGAGAUGAGUUCUCCCUGACUCCUUGAG
rnacentral:rRNA from 1 species